rnacentral:rRNA from 1 species
AACGAACGCUGGCGGCGUGUUUAAGACAUGCAAGUCGCACGGUGUCAUUUUGGUAGCAAUACUUGGAUGGUACAGUGGCGCACGGGUGAGUAACACGUGAAUUACAUGCCCUGUAGAGGGGGAUAGCCCAGGGAAACUUGGAUUAAUACCCCAUGGUCUCGCAAGAGUAAAGGUGGCCGCAAGGCUGUCGCUACAGGAUUGGUUCGCGCCCUAUCAGCUUGUUGGCGGGGUAACGGCCCACCAAGGCUACGACGGGUACCUGGUCUGAGAGGACGAUCAGGCACACUGGAACUGAGACACGGUCCAGACACCUACGGGUGGCAGCAGUCGAGAAUAAUUCACAAUGGGGGCAACCCUGAUGGUGCAACGCCGCGUGGAGGAUGACGGUCUUCGGAUUGUAAACUCCUGUCAUCCGGGAGUAAGACCUGGGCAUGAAUAGUGCACAGGGUUGAUAGUACCGGAAGAGGAAGGGACGGCUAACUUCGUGCCAGCAGCCGCAGUAAUAC